GGGGAAUAUUGGGCAAUGGAGGCAACUCUGACCCAGCAACGCCGCGUGAGUGAAGAAGGUUUUCGGAUUGUAAACCUCUGUCCUUGGUGAAGAAGAAAGUGACGGUAGCCAAGGAGGAAGCCCCGGCUAACUACGUGCCAGCAGCCGCGGUAAUACGUAGGGGGCAAGCGUUGUCCGGAAUUACUGGGCGUAAAGGGUGCGUAGGCGGUAUGGUAAGUUAGAUGUGAAAUACCCGGGCUUAACCUGGGGGGUGCAUUUAAAACUGCCGUACUAGAGUGCAGGAGAGGAAAGCGGAAUUCCUAGUGUAGCGGUGAAAUGCGUAGAUAUUAGGAGGAACACCAGUGGCGAAGGCGGCUUUCUGGACUGUAACUGACGCUGAUGCACGAAAGCGUGGGGAGCGAAC
rnacentral:rRNA from 1 species